GACGAACGCUGGCGGCGUGCUUAACACAUGCAAGUCGAACGGAAAGGCCCUGCUUUUGUGGGGUGCUCGAGUGGCGAACGGGUGAGUAACACGUGAGUAACCUGCCCUUGACUUUGGGAUAACUUCAGGAAACUGGGGCUAAUACCGGAUAGGAGCUCCUGCUGCAUGGUGGGGGUUGGAAAGUUUCGGCGGUUGGGGAUGGACUCGCGGCUUAUCAGCUUGUUGGUGGGGUAGUGGCUUACCAAGGCUUUGACGGGUAGCCGGCCUGAGAGGGUGACCGGCCACAUUGGGACUGAGAUACGGCCCAGACUCCAACGGGAGGCAGCAGGGGGGAAUAUUGCACAAUGGGCGGAAGCCUGAUGCAGCAACGCCGCGGGCGGGAUGACGGCCUUCGGGUUGUAAACCGCUUUCGCCUGUGACGAAGCGUGAGUGACGGUAAUGGGUAAAGAAGCACCGGCUAACUACGUG
rnacentral:rRNA from 1 species